UUAAUGAAUGAUGUCUGGGGUAGUCCACCUCUACAAUUCUGUAAAGGUUCUAUAAGGCAUAUAUUUUUCACACACUGUGAGCUUUCUGCAAUGGAUGCGGCAUCCAAUUGUGUUGAAGUAACAUUUGCGUCGUAGCACUACAUUAUUGGUAAUGAGGGUAUCACAAAGUAUAACAAAACUAUUAUUGCUUUCAUUUUCUAUGAUUUAAGUAUUUUUGCCAAAUUGUUUGUUGCAGUUCGAUUCGAUGAUAAUAGAGCGUUAUCGAUAAUCCCGGUUCGGUCCAGGAUUACUCUUAAAUGGCCUGGAUAAUGUCCAAUGACCCAAGGAGAGGAUUAGGAAUAUGGCGGGAAGCAUGAUAAAAUGGGAAUAAUAGUCAAUCGUAGCCAUACCGACGAGCUAUCCAGUUGCAGCUAGGACAAUUAAGAAACAAAUAACCGGGGUCCCAACAUAAAGGUUCCCCGGGAAAAUCUUUAUUGGAAGUCGGCAAAAAAACAUAUUACUUGGAUCAAGACCGCCAACCUUGCCGCUUAGGAAUUGAGCCAUAUUGGGAAAACUUACCCGUCCGCCAGGCAUUCCGGAGUAGGAUCUCCAUCCAACAUCCUCCCUGAAGCGAUCAUAAUACCGCCGGUGCCACGUUCAUUUGGCUUCUUUAAUUCCGGCACAACACAUGGCUAUUCCGUGAGGCGUCGACCGGCGCAAUUUGUUUCAAGAGUCGUCAACUGCUACUGCUAGUCCUGGCGCUAAAAUUUAAAACUGUUUGUUAAUGCUUAUCAAUAUUCUUUGUUAAUUAAUCCGGAGUCAAACGCGAGUCCGAAUUUUCGUCGUCGUCCCGUUCCAUUGUUGCUAAAUUUGGAUUGCGAGAAUUUAGUUAGUCUGACAAGGAAAUACAACACUUCCUCAAGUUCAAGCGACAACGACGUAUCGAUAAUGGGUGAAUUAUUUAAAAUAAUGCAUUGUUUACCAUUCUGUUUGUUUACUUAUUAGAUAUCGUAGUCGAGUAGAGUUGUGAGUCGUUAAUAGUUAUCGAUAUUUAUGUUGCGAGCUGUGUGGCAAGGGAAAAACUCCGCCCUGGAGCCUAGCUAGCGUUAGCUAGCGGCACUAACACAAAUAAGAGGAUAAGCAGUUCGUAACAUAAUGGCUCGCAAUAUAAAAUAAAAAAAAUUGUCGAGG